UACGUAGGCAGCGAGCGUUGUUCGGAGUUACUGGGCGUAAAGGGUGUGUAGGCGGUCUCCUAAGUUUGGUGUGAAAUCUCCCGGCUCAACCGGGAGGGUGCGCCGAAAACUGGAGGACUAGAGUACGGGAUGGGAAAGUGGAAUUCCUGGUGUAGCGGUGAAAUGCGUAGAUAUCAGGAGGAACACCGGUGGUGUAGACGGCUUUCUGGACCGUAACUGACGCUGAGACACGAAAGCGUGGGUAGCAAACAGG
rnacentral:rRNA from 1 species